GUAACGGCGAGUGAAGCGGCAAAAGCUCAAAUUUGAAAUCUGGCGUCUUCGACGUCCGAGUUGUAAUUUGAAGAAGGCAACUUUGUAGCUGGUCCUUGUCUAUGUUCCUUGGAACAGGACGUCAUAGAGGGUGAGAAUCCCGUGUGGCGAGGAUCCCAGUUCUUUGUAAAGUGCUUUCGACGAGUCGAGUUGUUUGGGAAUGCAGCUCUAAGUGGGUGGUAAAUUCCAUCUAAAGCUAAAUAUUGGCGAGAGACCGAUAGCGAACAAGUACAGUGAUGGAAAGAUGAAAAGAACUUUGAAAAGAGAGUGAAAAAGUACGUGAAAUUGUUGAAAGGGAAGGGCAUUUGAUCAGACAUGGCGUUUGCUUCGGCUUUCGCUGGGCCAGCGUCGGUUUUAGCGGUUGGAUAAAUCCUCGGGAAUGUGGGUCUGCUUCAGUAGAGUGUUAUAGCCCGUGGGAACACGGCCAGCUGGGACUGAGGAUUGAGACUUUUGUCCAGGAUGCUGGCCUAAUGGUUAAAUGCCGCCGGUCUUGA
rnacentral:rRNA from 1 species